CACAGUUUGUUUACGAAAAUGGAGUGCGUAAAAUACCUGCGUUAAUUCUGUUAGUAAUCCUUGAAGAAGAACGGAGAAAAUUGCGAAGAGGUUUCUGGAAUCGCCGAUGGCUUGAACAGCAAAUUGGUGAUAGACACUCCGUAUGCUGUGCAACGAACUGAGAAUGCAGAGUAUCCAUAUUAUCGACGUUGUAUUCACUUCUGUCAUCCUUAAGCAACAGAGUUCCUGAUAUAGCCUUAAAGACCGAGGUUCAUUUCAAAAUUUAAUUGGAAUGGACGAAGUUUUUUUAAAGAUACACACUACCAUUGAAAAAUAUGUUUACCGACAAGAUGCGAACAUGAGGCAGUCUAUAAAACCAAGAGCUAGAUCUGAUGUCAUUUCAUCAAGGCUACAAAGAGAUGUAAAGUAACAAUCAUCCAGACAGUUCCUGUUACAUUUGUGGAUACUACACAGUUUAAACUCAUAAAGCAUUCUCAGGACUUCCUCUUGGUGAACAAGACGAAGGACGAUUCCCUCAUACUGUACGCCACAACUGUGAGGAAAUGCUGCAUGAUUGGUCAAAAGGAAAGUGUAUGGGUUUACCUUUCAGAAUCUCCAUGUCCCGGCGAGAACCAGUGGAUCAGUCGACUGACUGCCGUUUUUUUUAAAAUCAUGAAUGGAAAGGGAAUUUGUAUGA